rnacentral:rRNA from 1 species
UACGGGGGGGGGCAAGCGUUGUUCGGAAUUACUGGGCGUAAAGGGCUCGUAGGCGGUCUGUUGCGUCCGCUGUGAAAACUCGGGGCUUAACCCCGAGCCUGCAGUGGAUACGGGCAGACUAGAGGUAGGUAGGGGAGAAUGGAAUUCCCGGUGUAGCGGUGAAAUGCGCAGAUAUCGGGAGGAACACCGGUGGCGAAGGCGGUUCUCUGGGCCUUACCUGACGCUGAGGAGCGAAGCGUGGGGAGCGAACAGG